AGUAUGUGUGAGAGGAGCUCAGGCUUCAGUGAUGGAGACAGGCUGGAGUUCAACGCCUUGGUCUGCUAUCUUCUGGGCAGUGCAAGGACCAGUGAGGGUACAGCUCUUGACUCAGCAGACGUCCUAAACACAGACUUCAUGGAGUGGCCUGGCUCUGCCUCUUUACCUCUCUGACAAUUCAGUACCAACAAGCCUGAUGGCUGCUAGCUUAUUCUUUUAAGACCUGCUUCCUGAAAAUGACUAGAGAUAGUUCAUCCAGGUAUAAACACUGGUCACCAAGUUCUCGAUACUCAGGGUGAGCAGCUGUGUCUUCAUCAGGGGACUUCACACUGCAGUCUGGGAAGCCCUGCCUCAUUUGAUGAGGUCUUGCUGAUCCUUUGAUACCUAUUCUGAUCAGGUGAGUUCUCUGGAGAUUCCAUUUUUGCCAUCAGUAAUCAUGGGGAAGUUGUGGUCUUUCUUUUUUCUUUUCAGUAUGGAUAAAGGACUAGCACAGUUCAUGCAAUGUUCAUGAAACUUUCACCCAUUUGGCUUCAAAUGAAGUCUACCGAGUUAACAAGAAGACCUUGAUUUUAUUAUUCUUGUUGUUGAGAUAUAGUCUAACUGUAUAGCUCAAGCUUUCCUGAACUCACGAUGUAGACCAGCUCUGAGAUCUCUGAACUCACAGAGCUCUGUCUUCCUGGAAUUGGGAUCAAAAUAUGUGCCACUAGUGCUCUGUGUCUUAAUUAUGUAGCCCUGGCAGGCCUUGGAGUAAUAAAUGCAUAAUAAAUAAAUA
rnacentral:lncRNA from 1 species